GUGUCGAACGAGCUGCAAACCAGGUUCAGUGAGCUCUGCUUGUAGAUUGGUCUUAGAGCGCAACCCCAGUUGUACGUGUAAUGCACCAGAUGGAAACAGGGUGCAGUUGUGUAAAGAGCUUGUCCGCAAAGCCUCAAAUAAACGAAAGAGAUCAACUGAAUGAACUGCAAGAAAGGCACGUGGAGAGCGUCCAAGGUACUAGGAGCGUAGAUCGCGCGAGUGAGCUCCAGCUGCUCUCUUAGCACUGCCCCAAGUCCGAUGGCCAAAGUAGAUCAACUAAAUAAACAACUAGAAGGGCACACGGGAAGCGUCCAAGGUACUCGGAUCGUAGAUCUUAUGAGCGAGCUCCAGCUGCUUCCGCGGACAACCAUGCGUUGCGGAGGGCCCCACAGCCAAGACGGAUCACCUAAAAUAGCAGAUACCACCUACUCUACGUCACGUGUGGCUUUUCGAGGGUCACUCCAGCUACGGCUUUUCGACAGCGAGCUUACUAAACGGACCAAGUAAAAAACCCAUUUGAGGAGCUACAUGGUUCCGCAUGAGCGACUGCAUUCGCGACCGGGGCCCUUGCUGGUUAUGUGCUCCAUCUGCAUAGACCGGCGUUCUGCUUAGGCGCCGUUCAACUAGUAGAAAGCGCUACAGGGCGUGUAUGGCUUCCAAAACGAACGCUUGUUUGCGUCGCGGAAGCCGUGUAACUCACCCCGGUUUGUUUUUCGUGAGCAUCAGGUGGCGGCCUGGUGCCUAGCAAGCAGCGUUGGUACCACGAACGCUUGUUUGCGUCGCGGAAGCCGUGUAACUCACCCCGGUUUGUUUUUCGUGAGCAUCAGGUGGCGGCCUGGUGCCUAGCAAGCAGCGUUGGUACCACGAACGCUUGUUUGCGUCACGGAAGCCGUGUAACUCACCCCGGUUUGUUUUUCGUGAGCAUCAGGUGGCGGCCUGGUGCCUAGCAAGCAGCGUUGGUACCGACGAUGCAUAUCGUAGCGCGUUUUACACGUGCUGUGCUCUGAUAGCACUCGCGAAAACAUGCUGUCGACGAGAACUCGGCAAACCAAGGCCUCCCGGUGGAUACCGCGUGCGUCACAGAAACAUGUCGCAAAAGAAUAUGUGCUACAGAGGCAUCGUCGGAGCAAGCUAACAUCCAUUCGUGGACACGACGUUGUGAUGUCCUCAAAGACAAUGGAUACUUCGAUCAGGGAGUACCUGGAGGCGCUACGAUGCGGUAUAUACCUCGCUGCAUGCGUCACUGGGGGGCGCCUUGGAACGUCACAGCACUGCUGGCGACUGGUGCAAACACGACCGCCUCCUGUGUGCGUGUUUGUUUGUGGUGGCUUCCAUAUCAUCUAGCUUCGUUUCGUGCUUGAGCCGGAGAGCCCAGACGAAAGCGUUUGCUCCUGGAUGUGGCCCCAGACUAAGAGGCAGACGCGAAUCUCGGCAGACGCUGGCCCCUGCAUCUCCAUUUGGAGCGCCUGCUGGUACCAGCGUAGGAGCAAGUCCUUGCACCAUGUUGCGGGCACAAUUGCUCAACGUCGGUAUCGGAGCAUGCCGCACAGCUACCUCGUGCCGAUACCUUUCAGGUCAAUAAAGCGAAGCCUUCCACCUCGGUGGGGCAGCUGAGGAAGCCAGUCGGAGGUCGUCGCAAGCGGCGAUGACGACGACAACUGUGCCGCCAGUCACUUGGCAUCCACCUUGCUACUGAAUUCAGCAUCUAUUCCCUCCAGGACGUUGACUCUGGGACUCCCUGAAAUAUAGCAGUAUCGAUGGGAGAACGAUGGCCUGUUCGCUGCAUACACGCAGCAAUGACGAACGCGGAAGUAUCGGAUUAAUGAGAAGGAUCUCCAGUCAUGGAGGAAUAGACACGGCGGGAAUCGUACGACGCUCGGAAGCAGGCUUAUGAGCCGCUGUGGGUCCAGAGCGUCGCUACCCUCUUGAGAACGUAAAAUGGAGCACUGAAUCGUUUGCUAUGUACCUGAAUGUCGAAUGCUUUCCGAGCUCGUUUUAUAUAUACGGCCUCGACACUUGAUACGCAGGAGGAAGAAGCGCUUACGCAUUCAAACACAGAUAUAGGAUCUUCUUCCGUGUUUUCGUGGUGACUCCAUUGACUCGUGGACGCUGGGAUUCCUUAAGUUACUGGAAUCAAGAUCAUGCAUGACGCAAUAGAGCAACGACACAUAGAG